rnacentral:rRNA from 1 species
UACGGGGGGGGCAAGCGUUGUUCGGAAUUACUGGGCGUAAAGGGCGCGUAGGCGGUUCGAUAAGUCAGCUGUGAAAACCAUGGGCUUAACUCAUGGCCUGCAGUUGAGACUGUCGGGCUGGAGUGUGGGAGAGGAGAGUGGAAUUCCUGGUGUAGCGGUGAAAUGCGUAGAUAUCAGGAGGAACACCGGUGGCGAAGGCGGCUCUCUGGACAGUUCCUGACACUGAGACACGAAGGCCAGGGGAGCAAACGGG